rnacentral:rRNA from 1 species
AACGAACGCUGGCGGCAUGCCUAACACAUGCAAGUCGAACGAGACCUUCGGGUCUAGUGGCGCACGGGUGCGUAACGCGUGGGAACCUGCCCUUAGGUUCGGAAUAACUCCCCGAAAGGGGUGCUAAUACCGGAUAAUGUCUUCGGACCAAAGAUUUAUCGCCUUUGGAUGGGCCCGCGUUGGAUUAGCUAGUUGGUAGGGUAAAAGCGUACCACGGCGACGAUCCAUAGCUGGUCUGAGAGGAUGAUCAGCCACACUGGGACUGAGACACGGCCCAGACUCCUACGGGAGGCAGCAGUGGGGAAUAUUGGACAAUGGGCGAAAGCCUGAUCCAGCAAUGCCGCGUGAGUGAUGAAGGCCUUAGGGUUGUAAAGCUCUUUUACCCGGGAUGAUAAUGACAGUACCGGGAGAAUAAGCUCCGGCUAACUCCGUG